GUCCGGGUAGAGCUUACCAGCAGUUGGAGUUGGUGUUGGAGCCUGGCUCCCGUAGGAGUCCGGGCAGAGUCUUCCUGCAGUUGAAGUCGGGGAUGGGGCCUGGCUCCCGUAGGAGUCCGGGCGGAGCUUGCCAGCAGUUGAAGUUGGUGACGGAGCCCGACUCCCGUAGGAGUCCGGGCGGAGUCUUCCUGCAGUUGAAGUCGGAGGGGACCUGCAAGGGUCAACCCCGCUGAGAACUUCGGCUGAAGGUAUUUUAUACCCAACACCAGUCCCCCUACUUUCGAGUUUGAAUUUCGAAUGAAGAAAGUACAGAGAGAUUGGCAUAGCCGUAGUUGUCCCCUCG
rnacentral:lncRNA from 1 species